rnacentral:rRNA from 1 species
GAUCCUGGCUCAGGAUGAACGCUAGCUACAGGCUUAACACAUGCAAGUCGAGGGGAAACGACAUCGAAAGCUUGCUUUUGAUGGGCGUCGACCGGCGCACGGGUGAGUAACGCGUAUCCAACCUGCCCACCACUUGGGGGUAACCUUGACGAAAGUAAUACUAAUACCCAAUGACAUCCCACGAAGACAUCUGAAUGGGAUUAAAGAUUUAUCGGUGAUGGAUGGGGAUGCGUCUGAUUAG